UCGCUGGAGCUCAGCUCUGUUCAAAUGGCUCUGCAGCGAGCACCCUCUCAAAAUUUUGACCGUUUUCAGCAACCGCUUGAAAAGUCAUGUUCAACGAACUUUAAAACAAUGAGUUGCAUUCAAUCUUGGUAAUAUUGAAAUGUGGUUUCAAAAGUGUUAAUGCGGUAACACUUUAGGAUAAAUGUACGAUAUUACGAUAAAUACUGAUAUCACUGUUAUGAUAAAUGUUAAUUAAUGCAUUUACUAACAUAAACAAUGAACAAUACAUUUAUUACACUUUGUUUAUUACUUAUUGUAAAGUGUGACCGUUUAUAUAGCUAACAUUAGCUUUCUAUGUGAUAAAUUGCACUGAUGGAGGUUCUAAAACUAUUGGCAGGCGUACACAUUUUCUGCCAUGUUUGCACCACAGAAAAUCAGAAUGACUUUAGUUAUAGAAACCCCUUUUGGGUGGACUAAAUUAGCGCUGACUUAAAAGGGUCUAACCAGCACAACAGAAACUAGAGUAAUGAUGUGUGACACAAAUAUGAUAUUUUAAAUAGUUAUGAUAUUUUUAAGACAUUGAAAAUGUGUGUAGAUUGUGUACAAAAUGUUAGAUAUUUGAUUAUUUUAAAUAGUUAUGAUUUUGUACUAUUAAAAAUUUUAAGUAAUGUCACAUUACUGUAGUUGUAUUGUAAUUUUUCUCAUUUGUUUUAAUCGUGUACAUUUUUAUUUUUAUUUUUAUUUUAAUGGGUCAAAUCUGUGGCAAUGUUAGGACUGGGCUGAUAAACGAUAUUAUAUCGAAUUGUGAUAACAUUUAUGUCAGUAAUAAUGAUAAGCACUGCACUUUAUUACUCUAUAAUGAUGCAAAGAGCCAAUCAUACAGAAGAAAUGUAGAACAAUCGAAAAGUGUGUUGACAUUUUCGGCCACUGAAAAGUUAUUGGGCAAAAAUAUGUCAUGCCAUUAAAUGGACUCUUUGGAAGCAUUAACAACUUACAUAGAAAUAUAUAUCGUUAUCGUUCAAUAUGAAAAACAAUUAUCGAGAUUACACUUUAACCAUAUCGCCCAGCCCUAGGCAAUGUUAUUAUUAUUAUUUUAUUAAAUGGGAGGAACUGGUCACUUUAUGGUUACAGAAAGAGGCUUAAAUAAGUCCAACACCCACAAAAUACUCAAGCAUUUAUCCAAAUCAUCCAGUGCUACAAGGACAUAUCUCUCACACGCACAAAAAAAAAAAAAAACACAUAAAUAAUGUCAAAUUAAUCAUUUUCAUUUUAAAUACAGAUCCGUUUCUGAAAUUAUUGGUCAUUAAAACUUAACUAUAGUUAUAAAACAUUAUUGAAUAGUAUAGUUCAACUACUAAAGUCAUGCUGAAAAAAUUCUGCUUCUUAUAUGGCAUUAAUCGUAGCAGAGAAAAAUGGCAGUUCAGCUCUACAUGAAAUGGAAUUUCUGUAUCAAGGAGACAAUGUAAGAUGGUGGAGGAUUGUCAGCAUCUCUGUAAUCCUGCAAUCUGUGUGUCCUGUUUGCUGCGCCAGCCUGUUCUCUUUGCUCAUUAGCACUGGAGAAAGUCAUGAAUACUGCAGGGCGGCGUGGAGCUCAUUACAUCUCCUGCGUUCAGCAGCAGCGUGAAAAAUUCUUCACCCCUGACUGAUCAUUAAUUACAUGUCUUAGCUGGCAGCCGGAAAAGAGUGAGCAUGAGGAAAUGACAAAGAGAGAAAGAAAAGUCAGCUUAUUCAGGGAAAAAUGGCUGACGGAACAAUGCUUUCUGUUGCAGUUGAAGACAUGUGAGCAGAGCAUCCGUGGUGAAAGAUUGGGGCGGGAUUUAAAUGUUUGGCCAGCCAAUAGAAGUGAAGUGCAGAGUUCACCUUGAGCCGUCCGCAUGACUGAGCUCUACAACAGAUGUCAUUAAACAGCAGGUCAACAGGCGGUCUCUCACCUGGAGCUGUAUUUCUGCAGGAUGCUGUCCAGCGCGCCCACCAACUCCUCAGAGUUGACAGUCUUCUG